CAGCAGCCGCGGUAAUACGAGGGGGGCAAGCGUUGUUCGGAAUUAUUGGGCGUAAAGGGCGCGUAGGCGGUUUGGCAAGUUUGGUGUGAAAUCUUCGGGCUCAACUCGAAGUCUGCAUCGAAAACUGCCGGGCUUGAGUAUGGGAGAGGUGAGUGGAAUUUCCGGUGUAGCGGUGAAAUGCGUAGAUAUCGGAAGGAACACCUGUGGCGAAAGCGGCUCACUGGACCAUUACUGACGCUGAGGCGCGAAAGCUAGGGGAGCAAACAGGAUUAGAUACCCCUGUAGUCCUGUCUCUUAUACC
rnacentral:rRNA from 1 species